UUACCCUGGACGGUGGAUCACUUGGCUCGCGGGUCGA
rnacentral:rRNA from 4 species